rnacentral:rRNA from 1 species
UUUUUGGAGAGUUUGAUCCUGGCUCAGGACGAACGCUGGCGGCGUGCCUAAUACAUGCAAGUCGAGCGGACU